AUAUCAAUAAGCGGAGGAAAAGAAACCAACAGGGAUUGCCUCAGUAACGGCGAGUGAAGCGGCAACAGCUCAAAUUUGAAAUCUGGCCUCUGGCCCGAGUUGUAAUUUGCAGAGGAUGCUUCGGGCGCGGUGCCUUCCAAGUCCCCUGGAACGGGGCGCCGGAGAGGGUGAGAGCCCCGUACGGUUGGCGGCCAAGCCUGUGUGAAGCUCCUUCGACGAGUCGAGUAGUUUGGGAAUGCUGCUCUAAGCGGGAGGUAGACCCCUUCUAAAGCUAAAUACCGGCCAGAGACCGAUAGCGCACAAGUAGAGUGAUCGAAAGAUGAAAAGCACUUUGAAAAGAGGGUUAAAUAGCACGUGAAAUUGUUGAAAGGGAAGCGCUUAUGACCAGACUUGCGCCGGGUUGAUCAUCCAGUGUUCUCACUGGUGCACUCUGCCCGGCUCAGGCCAGCAUCGGUUCUGGAGGGGGCAUAAAGGCCGCGGGAACGUAGCUCCUCCGGGAGUGUUAUAGCCAGGCGUGCCAUGCCUCCGCCUAGACCGAGGUACGCGUUCUGCAAGGACGCUGGCGUAAUGGUCUCCAGCGA
rnacentral:rRNA from 1 species